rnacentral:rRNA from 1 species
UACGUAGGGUGCAAGCGUUAAUCGGAAUACUGGGCGUAAAGCGUGCGCAGGCGGUGAUGUAAGACAGGUGUGAAAUCCCCGGGCUUAACCUGGGAACUGCAUUUGUGACUGCAUCGCUGGAGUGCGGCAGAGGGGGAUGGAAUUCCGCGUGUAGCAGUGAAAUGCGUAGAUAUGCGGAGGAACACCGAUGGCGAAGGCAAUCCCCUGGGCCUGCACUGACGCUCAUGCACGAAAGCGUGGGGAGCAAACAGGAUUAGAA